UAGCGGCGAGUGAAGCGGCAAAAGCUCAAAUUUGAAAUCUGGCACCUUCGGUGUCCGAGUUGUAAUUUGAAGAUUGUAACCUUGGGGUUGGCUCUUGUCUAUGUUUCUUGGAACAGGACGUCACAGAGGGUGAGAAUCCCGUGCGAUGAGAUGCCCAAUCCUAUGUAAGGUGCUUUCGAAGAGUCGAGUUGUUUGGGAAUGCAGCUCUAAGUGGGUGGUAAAUUCCAUCUAAAGCUAAAUAUUGGCGAGAGACCGAUAGCGAACAAGUACAGUGAUGGAAAGAUGAAAAGAACUUUGAAAAGAGAGUGAAAAAGUACGUGAAAUUGUUGAAAGGGAAGGGUUUGAGAUCAGACUCGAUAUUUUGUGAGCCUUGCCUUCGUGGCGGGGUGACCCGCAGCUUAUCGGGCCAGCAUCGGUUUGGGCGGUAGGAUAAUGGCGUAGGAAUGUGACUUUGCUUCGGUGAAGUGUUAUAGCCUGCGUUGAUGCUGCCUGCCUAGACCGAGGACUGCG
rnacentral:rRNA from 1 species